UAGAGUCAUCCCAGAAGCGAUGGGGCAGUGAGAGGAGAUAGGUGGGAAAAAGAAACCCUUGUUCAAGUUCCAUCUGGCCUAUGCGCUACUCCUGUCUUGGUGAGUCUGUGGCCUCCGGUCCAGAGUCUCCAGCCAGCGUUCCUGAUAGUCCAAUGCAAAGGGCAGAAAGUGGAGGGCCCCCACACCCCACACUUGUCAACAUGAAAGAUUUAGCAGAGUCUAAAUCUCAUUUCCAGCUCCUCCUGCAGCCUAGGCUGAGUCAUCUCUCUGCUAACGGGGAGUGCGUGGGCGUUAGCCUGUUUAUCUCUGCCUUCUCCAAAACUGACUCUGGCUCAGCCAUGGCUAUUUAUCAGCCUGGGAAUGAGCCGAGAUGAGCUUCCCCGUGCCAUAAAACAAGCCUUGCUGUCACCCUGCUCACUCGCUCAGCCAGUCCUCUGGGUGUGGACUCUGCUGUGGGGACUGGAGGGCUCCUCAAAACAGUAUGGACUCAAGCCCCAGCCGUGAUGUGAGUGGAAUGACAGUGCUCCAGCCUUACAGUGCAACGUCAGAGCCUCGCGUUCUGGAGAACACUUGCUCGUUGUGUGGCUGAGCUGCGGCAAUGAGUGUGGUGCCAAUGCAAACUUCCCCACUCCAGGCUACCCGUCCAUCUCCGCCUGGAAAAGAGGUGACCUCCCCUAGCCCGGAGAAUGGACUCGUUGCCCUGGAAAGGGUGGACUUGAUAAUGGGAAGAGAGACCAUUGCAGCACUGGAGCACCCAUCAGCUGGAGGCGCUAGAGAGGAGAGAGCCUGCUUCACCAUAUCUAGCCGUGAGGGGCCCACCAUGGGUGAGUGUGCCCUUUCCCAGCCUCUACGGCUGUGGUUUGCAACCUUUUUAGGCUGCAUAGCCCUUUCCAGAUAAGGCAGUGUACCGUGUGCCCCCAUCCAAGAUAGGGUCAUCAUAUACCUCUGAUUAGAUUGCCAAGUCUUACUAAAUCAAAUGCAUUGUUCACUGUUACAGGAUUUUUCAUGGGUACUCCCUGAUGAGAGC